UACGGGGGAGCAAGCGUUGUUCGGAUUUACGUGGGCUGUAAAGGGCGCAGGUAGGCGCCUGUGCAAGUCGAGUUUGUGAAUCAUCCGACGCUUAACUGGAAGGUCACUAGAUACUGCUCGGCUAGAGUGGCGGAAAGGGGCAGCUGGAAUUCUUGGUGUAGCGGUGAAAUGCGUAGAUAUCAAGAGGAACACCUGCGGCGAGCGGUGCUGGCGACACUACGCUGAUGCGCGAAAGCUAGGGGAGCGAACGG
rnacentral:rRNA from 1 species